rnacentral:rRNA from 1 species
CCAGACUCCUACGGGAGGCAGCAGUGGGGGAUAUUGCACAAUGGGGGAAACCCUGAUGCAGCGACGCCGCGUGGGCGAAGAAGUAUUUCGGUAUGUAAAGCCCUUUCAGCAGGGAAGAAGAAAUGACGGUACCUGAGUAAGAAGCACCGGCUAAAUACGUGCCAGCAGCCGCGGUAAUACGUAUGGUGCAAGCGUUAUCCGGAUUUACUGGGUGUAAAGGGAGCGCAGGCGGCACGGCAAGCCUGAUGGGAAAGCCCGCGGCCCAACCGCGGGACUGCAUUGGGAACUGCGGGGCUGGAGUGCGGGAGGGGUAGGCGGAAUUCCUAGUGUAGCGGUGAAAUGCGUAGAUAUUAGGAGGAACACCAGUGGCGAAGGCGGCCUGCUGGACGGUGACUGACGCUGAGGCUCGAAAGCGUGGGGAGCAAACAGGAUUAGAUACCCUCGUAAAC